UGCCAGCAGCCGCGGUAAGACGGGGGAUGCAAGCGUUAUUCGGAAUUACUGGGCUUAAAGAGUUCGUAGGUGGUUGAAAAAGUUGGUGGUGAAAUCCCAGAGCUUAACUCUGGAACUGCCAUCAAAACUUUUCAGCUAGAGUUUGAUAGAGGAAAGCAGAAUUUCUAGUGUAGAGGUGAAAUUCGUAGAUAUUAGAAAGAAUACCAAUUGCGAAGGCAGCUUUCUGGAUCAUUACUGACACUGAGGAACGAAAGCAUGGGUAGCGAAGAGGAUUAGAUA
rnacentral:rRNA from 1 species